rnacentral:rRNA from 1 species
AGAAUGCUUAACACAUGCAAGUCGAUGGGAAAGUGGUGCUUGCACCAUGGUACCCAUGGCGGACGGGUGAGCAACGCGUAAGGAACUUUGCCUGCGGGACCGGGAUAACAGCAGAAACUUGCUUGACAAGACCGGAUAAGGUCAUUAAGCUGCAUAGCUUAGUGAUGAAAGGAGACGCCUGCGGAGAGCCUUGCGUCCUAUUAGCUAGUUGGAGGGGUAACGGCCCACCAAGGCGAAGAUAGGUAGCCGGCCUGAGAGGGUGGACGGCCACAAGGGGACUGAGAUACGGCCCUUACUCCUACGGGAGGCAGCAGUGGGGAAUAUUGGACAAUGGGGGCAACCCUGAUCCAGCAAUUCUGUGUGCACGAAGACGGUUAUCGGAUUGUAAAGUGCUUUCAGCAGGGAAGAAGGAAGUGACGGUACCUGCAGAAGAAGCG